AAACAAAUCAUCAAAACGGUUAAGUGAACGCAUGACGUGUAAAGUGCUGCUGGUAACGCGUUCAGGGCUACCAGACUUGUCACAGGGACCCGGGAAAGAUUUCCCUGGGAAAGAGACGAUUAAGCUGAUACCCGAGGCACCAGAAGGAUGUAGGCAGAGACACAGUAGAGGAGCUUCCAGGAAGAGAAGCAACAUACGCAAAGUUCUGGAAGGAGGAGAAGAAAGGGCUGGAGAAGAAAGAAAGACCCCGAUCACGGAGGGCCUUGUGAUCCCCGUGAAGUCUUCGGGGGCUGCUCUACAAACAACCGUUGAGGGUUUUGAAGCAAGAAAUUGACAUAGUCCAUUUUUAAAUAUCUAUGUAUCUGUGUGUGCAGAGAGAGGGAACAAUAUAUCCCUAUAUAAAAUAAAAUUCAGAGAUCUUAAGCAAGCAGGUUAUACCAGAAUAACCAACGCCCCAAACAAGAUGCAGAACAUUAUAAUCACUCUAGCAAGUUCCCCCUUGCCAAUUUCCAGUCCAUAAGCAGAUUUUUGUUUGUUUUUGUUUUUGUUUACUCUGGUGACAGUGUGGAGAAUAGUUGUUUGGGGUCUGGGUAUGAUAGUACCUAGGCAAGAAAGGAUGGAGGCCUAUCCUUGGGUCAUAGUGAUGGGGGUGGAGAGAAGAGAAGGGACCCGAAAAUAUUUAGGAGGUAAAGUCGGCAGAACUUGGAGUGACUGGGAAGGAGGAAUAGCGGGAGGAGCAGGUAAGAUGACUCGCAGGUUGCUGGUUUGGGCAGCUGGAGGAACACUGAGUCAGCCUGGGGGAGAAGAGGGUCCAGAGGCUUUCUAGAAGUGCUGACACACAAGUGGAGCUUUGCAGAAUCAGUAAGCGUUAACUAGGUGAUCGGGGGUUAGAAGUGCAUUUCAGGAAAGGGGCUCGUAAAGGAAAGGCUCAGGGAUGAUCCUGGGAAUGAACACAAAUUUGAGCACCUGGAUCUAGCCUCGCCUGAAGCACACACACUGAGACAUUUUGGUUCUGUGAAACAAUAGAUCCUCACUUGGUCUAAGCCAGCUUGAGUUUCCGAUGCAACAAAGAGAACUGUGACUUACAGACCACAAGGAGAACAUUGAAAGGGAUGGGGAAGGAAAUGAGAAGGGGCUCUAUGUCUGGGACAUCAAGCCCCAUCGCAGCUCUGGGACCCCAGACUUAGGAUAGAACUCAAGUAAGGGGCAUCACCUGAGAGUCCAGGCAUGGCGGCCAUCCUGUAGGCCCUACCCCAGCAUUGAAGGCUGUGACGGCUCCUGCUGGGCAGGCCCAGACUCGGAGACUCACCCCCUUGGACCACUGCAUGAAGACUCCCUCUGGCAACACUCCCCAACACGAAUCAGCCCCGGAGACCCCUAGAAACCUACCAAGCAGCAUAACUUCUCAAUCAUCCAUUUCCGGGGAAAGGCAUCAGCAUACCCCAAGCUGAGACAGAGAAACCAGAAGGUCGGGAGCACCUACGGAGACUGUUGAACUGGGAAGAGUUUGACGAGCUCAGAGACUCCCGCAGAAGCAUCCUGCUGGACACCCUCUACGAAAGUAUCAUCUUCGCUGCGGACAAAGGCUUCCCCUGGGUAGAGGUGGCCCAGGUGGUCAAGUUCACAGAAGAGCUGCUCAAAGAAACCAAAGCUCCAAAUGUGUGAAACAUGGCUGGUACACACAUCAAGUAGGAAGAAGCCUUUGGGUGGGCUCCCAGUGCCUGAAAUUGGAUUCGGCAAAGAUAGCGUCCAUCUGGAGGCUCCAAACCUGGAGAGAAGACUCAAAUCCUAGUUCAGUCCCUUGCAAGACAUGAGGACCUGGGCAGCCACACCACCUCUGAGCCUCUAAUUACACAUUGAGAGAAGGAGAAAAACAAGAGUGCCCACUUCAUAGGACUGAGUUCAUGACGAUGAAGCCGACAGCACAGCGCUUGUUGCCUAGUCAGCGCUCAGUGAGGACUGGCCCUUAGUUUCAGGAGGGACCACAAAGACCCGGAGAUGCGAUGGGGGUGAUGGGAUUCCAAGAUGGCCUGAUCGAUCAGGUGUGGCUGGCCAUGCUGUGUGCAGAUCCCGCUUCACAUCAGCCUCCAAACGUCCAGGAGUCACCUCAGCCCCUUCUCAAGAGCAGCAGAGAUGGUCCCAGGCCCUUUCUCCUCAGAUGCGUCCCAGGGAGCAGGGCAGGACAACGGGCAGGGAGCAGGGUGCCUGGAGGUAAAGCAAACUGCAGACUCGUCCCCGAAGUGGGGCUGCAAGAAAAGACGCAGAUAAGAUGGUCCCGGCUCCACCCCCGGCUAACGGACCCACUGUGAGUGCCGACUCCAGCUGACUCUGGGCUUGGAGGGUGCAGAGUGUGGGUGCAGCAGGGAAGAGCCACCCGAGAACCCGGCCUCCUGGGCUAGGCCCACGCACCUCAGGCCCCGCCACGCUGUCAUCAGGAUGACGCCUGCUGCUGUAGAAAGCGGCCACGCUGGCCCGACAUCACCCCGCAGAGCCACGCCCACACUGCCUCCCAGAAACCCACAACUGGAACACUCACAAGAGCGUGAACAAGCGUAUCAGUCCUCAGAGGCAGGGGUGGAAUUUCAGCGGGCACCUCCUCUCUCCCCCAGACACUCCUCCUUACUGUGCAUCAGCUCCAGGCCCAGGCUGGGCCAGGCUAAAGGCCGCAUAGCCGAGCAAUCAGGCACCAAACUCUGCAGUCAGUAGACCUGGAUUCCAGUCUGCCUCCAACACAUUACUGUGCAACCUAGAGAGCAGUACUUUACCUCUCUGUGCCUUCCAUUCCUUACCUCUAAAAUAGGGCCAUGAUAUUUCCAACUCAUAGGGCAUUUGGAAAAACUAAAGAGGCAGGGCCUGCAGAGUAUAAUAGAGUGGGAGGCAUGUAGGAAAUGCUAGGCAAAG